GACCCUCGGUAUUUAUUGGAAAGGAGCAUCAAGCUCAUCACCUUGCACUUUCACCAACCUGUGAAGUUCAUAACUUAUUGCAUCAGUAGCCUAAUAAAUUGUAUGCUUUCCGUGCUUAUAGACAACUGUCAUUACUAUGCUUGCCCUAUGGAUAAUAUCAUGCUGUUGAAGAUAAUGAAUUCCCCUCUUUACCGGUUACUCCGUGCAAACCUUUACCCUCCAAAAAACCCAACAUGAACUCUGGCAUCUGCUUACUCAUCAACUCCAGGUCUGACGCCAUUGAGAAAAUGGUAGGUGCGAACACCAUGGUUAUCGAAGGCUUGAAAAAGACUGGAGUUUACAUGUGGUGAAAUCAAGGAUGUGAAAAUGAGUGGCAAAAGUUGAAAAAAGUGUGGAAAAUAAUAACAAUGUCUACCAUAGACAUCUCACUGAUCUGGAACAAUACACAAGAAGAUGGAACCUGAGACUCUACUGCGUGCCAGAGGUGGAGAAUGAGGAUGUGCGAGGAGAAGAACAAAGUUGGUGAUACCAUCGACGUUGUGCAUCGCCUCUGCAAGAUGCAACAGCAAACGAUUCAAGACCAAGGGGUAUCAUCAUCCUCUUCACUGCCAGAUUCUACAGGGAUGCUGUCUGGAAAGCUGCUAGGAAGAACACCUUCCUCCAGAGCCAUGGUAUGCGUUUUGCUGAGCAUCUCAGCCCGGAGGACAUAGAAAGAAGGAACAAGUUGUGGCCAACGAUCACGAAAUGAGGGAAAGGCCGCUUACUUUGUCGGAGGACGAGGCUCAUCAACGGUUCAGAAAUCCAUAUUCCUCCCUAAAAUCUCACCAGAAGGAACAGAUUGAUGGUUUCGGACAUGGUAUUCUCAUUUUUCUUGUGUUGAUUAACGUUAACUAACAAGCAUCAGUAGUGUACCCACAUUGCUUGCAGAAGAAGAUGAAAAUUCUCUGGUGCAGUACUGUAUCUACUGCGCCAGCCAUGGGUUCCCCUUCACCAGACAGAGGCUGAUGAAAUACGCUGACGAAAUACGCAGGUUUCGACACCCAGGGGGAAACAAUCCCACCACUGAGGAAGAGGUGGUGGGAAAUGUUCAGGAGGAGGCACAAGAACCUAAGCAUAAGGAGGCCGGACACCCAAGACAGGGGGAGAGCUCAGUGUGCCACACAUCCGACAAUGGACACCUUCUUCACUUUUUAUGAGAAGCACUUAAAGGAGAGUGGGUUGAGGGAGAAACCCAGACAAAUCUAUAACUGCAGUGAGUCUGGGUUCCGUAGCAACCAGAGCAGGCACAAAGUGCUGGCUCCCCGGGGUGCAAAACACGCGUACCAGCAGGCUAUGGAGACCAAGGAGCACAUCACAGUGCCUGCUUCAACGCAGCUGGGGAGGACGUUCCCCCGUUUAUCAUCUACCCCAAGUGUUUCCCUGUUGGCCACUAUACACUGGGAGCCCCCCCCCCCCCUAGCCUUGUAUGUGCGGUCAAACAGUGGUUACAUUGACGGGAACCUGUUCAGGAAGUGGUUUCAGCACAGUGGUGCACCCUCUCCUUCUCCUCUUUGAUGGACACAAGAGCCACAUGGACCUCGAGGUGCUCGUGUGCGGCACUAAGGGAAGGGGUUAUACUUCUUUGUCUUCCACCACACUGCACCCAUGUCCUGCAGCCGCUGGACGUGACAUACUUUGGCCCUUUAAAGGCUGAGUUCUCCAAGGUAGCUGGAGACCUUAGACAUUUUAACCACUCCUACAUGGUAAACAAAUCAGAAUUUGCCAGAGUAUUCUGCUACCCAUACCAGCGCUGCAAGGACAUGCGCUAUGUGGUGGAAGGGUUCAAGAAGUGUGGCCUUUUCCCUUUUGACCCUUCAGCCAUUGAGGGUCCAGUUUAAUGCCGUCUCGGUCCCUACCAGGUCCCAGCACUGCCUCUCCUGGAACCAGCAGCACUGGGCCUUCCACCAGCACCGGGGAGGAAUACACACGCAAGUGGCAAGAGAGGGCUGAGGCAGAGGAGAAAGAGCGUCGGGCAGCCUUCAGAACACAGGGCACAGGAGAUGGCUGCCAUGGAUGAGACCAUCGACGCCGUCGCCUCUGCUGGACCCCCGCUGGAACCACUCCUGACAGCUGCAUCACCACUGCCAGUGCCUCCCAGUGUGCAACACCUGUAGGAGCCGCCGGAGUCCCCACUAUUUAACUUUUAACAAGGCACACCUGUUAAUUGAAAUGCAUUCCAGGUGAUUACCUCAUGAACCUGGUUGA